UACGUAGGGGGCAAGCGUUGUCCGGAAUCAUUGGGCGUAAAGAGCGUGUAGGCGGCUCGGUAAGUCCGCUCUGAAAGCCCGGGGCUCAACCCCGGGAGGCGGGCGGAUACUGUCGGGCUAGAGUCCGGAAGAGGCGAGUGGAAUUCCUGGUGUAGCGGUGAAAUGCGCAGAUAUCAGGAGGAACACCAAUGGCGAAGGCAGCUCGCUGGGACGGUACUGACGCUGAGGCGCGACAGCGUGGGGAGCAAACAGG
rnacentral:rRNA from 1 species